GAUGAACGCUGGCGGCGUGCCUAAUACAUGCAAGUCGAGCGAACAGAUGAGGAUCUUGCUCCUCUGACGUUAGCGGCGGACGGGUGAGUAACACGUGGAUAACCUACCUAUAAGACUGGGAUAACUUCGGGAAACCGGAGCUAAUACCGGAUAAUAUAUUGAACCGCAUGGUUCAAUAGUGAAAGACGGUUUUGCUGUCACUUCUAGAUGGAUCCGCGCCGCAUUAGCUAGUUGGUAAGGUAACGGCUUACCAAGGCAACGAUGCGUAGCCGACCUGAGAGGGUGAUCGGCCACACUGGAACUGAGACACGGUCCAGACUCCUACGGGAGGCAGCAGUAGGGAAUCUGCCGCAAUGGGCGAAAGCCUGACGGAGCAACGCCGCGUGAGUGAUGAAGGUCUUCGGAUCGUAAAACUCUGUUAUUAGGGAAGAACAAAUGUGUAAGUAACUAUGCACGUCUUGACGGUACCUAAUCAGAAAGCCACGGCUAACUACGUG
rnacentral:rRNA from 1 species